rnacentral:tRNA from 1 species
AAGGGUAUAGCUUAGCGGUAGAGUGUGUGUCUAGCAUGAACAAGGUCCUGGGUUCAAUCCCCAGUUCCUCCA